AUCUAAAGAAACACUAGUUGGAUCAAGGUGAAAUUUGGCAUAAUAUUAGAAGACUUAAAGAUCAAGCCACAAAUUAAUUUUGAAUUAAAUUUAAUAAUUGAAGAAGGAGAAAUUAUUAUUGGAACAUUUGCAUCAACUUUCAAGUUUGCAGCCAAGUAAUAUUAGUAUGGUUUUUAGAUAUUUUUUCACAAUUUUUCAAUUGGAUUGGAGUGAAUUAUUUUUGAAUACAUAAAAGACUUAUAAUAUCAUUUGUGUGAAAUUUUUUGCUCUAAGUAGAUGCUUAAAUUAAGAGCUAUAGCUCACUAAAGCUUACUAAUUAGAAUUAAGAUUUAUAAAGAAAAUUCAAAAUUACCUAAUUAUAAAAGUAAUAAGGUAAUUGGAACUUAUGUAUGGUUGAGAUUACUAAAAAGAAUUUUUUUGAGUACUUUGUAUUAGAUUUAAGCACUUUUGAAUUAAAAUUAAAAUUACAUUCUUUUUAUAAAAAUAAAACAUAUUAAGAUUCUUGGAUAUUUAUAAAGCAUAAUUUUACCUUCUAUAAUUAGAGACAUAGUGCAUUUUUAAGCAAGUCAACAUAUAAUAUGGUAAUAUGAUAUUAUUCUCCCUUCUAAAAACAAGUUCCAUAAAGAGUAGUCUUCAUAUAUUCAGGAAAUCCAAGAUGUGGCAAGUUAUAUUUGCUACAUAUUAUCAUCUUUAUUCUCUUCAAAGAUGGUUACUAGGUCAUCUUAGCCAUCAAUAGGGUCU
rnacentral:lncRNA from 1 species